rnacentral:RNase_P_RNA from 1 species
UGCGUACGCCGCUCUGUCGCUUCAGCUAGACUGAAGAGGAAAGUCCGAGCAUCAGAGAGCAUCACACUUCCUAACGGGAAGGCACUUGGUAACAGGUGACAGAAAGUGCAACAGAAAGUAAACCGCCUUCGGGUAAGGGUGAAAGGGUGAGGUAAGAGCUCACCGCGUUUGUGGUGACACAAAUGGCAUGGUAAACCUUGUGAGAUGAAAGACCAAAUAGGCCUUACUUUCCUUCGGGAGUGAAGUUGCUCGCUUCACAGAGUAAUCAGGUAAGGUGGGUAGGUCGAUGGAACCUGUGAGCAAUUGCAGGUCUAGAUAAAUGACAGGGGGUGGAUCACUUUAUUUUAUAAGGCACGAACAUCACAGAACUCGGCUUAUAGGCGUACGCUUUUU